rnacentral:rRNA from 1 species
AUUGAACGCUGGCGGCAUGCCUUACACAUGCAAGGUCGAACGGCAGCACGGGAGCAAUCCUGGUGGGCGAGGUGGCGAACGGGUGAGUAAUAUAUCGGAACGUGCCCAGUCGUGGGGGAUAACGUAGCGAAAGCUACGCUAAUACCGCAUACGAUCUAUGGAUGAAAGCGGGGGAUCGCAAGACCUCGCGCGAUUGGAGCGGCCGAUAUCAGAUUAGGUAGUUGGUGAGGUAAAGGCUCACCAAGCCGACGAUCUGUAGCUGGUCUGAGAGGACGACCAGCCACACUGGGACUGAGACACGGCCCAGACUCCUACGGGAGGCAGCAGUGGGGAAUUUUGGACAAUGGGCGCAAGCCUGAUCCAGCAAUGCCGCGUGCAGGAUGAAGGCCUUCGGGUUGUAAACUGCUUUGUACGGAACGAAACGGUGAGCUCUAAUACAGUUUGCUAAUGACGGUACCGUAAGAAUAAGCACCGGCUAACUACGUG